CCAGACUCCUACGGGAGGCAGCAGUGAGGAAUAUUGGGCAAUGGGGGCAACCCUGACCCAGCCAUGCCGCGUGAGUGAAGAAGGUCUUCGGAUUGUAAAGCUCUUUCGGACGUGACGAUGAUGACGGUAGCGUCUAAAGAAGCACCGGCAAACUUCGUGCCAGCAGCCGCGGUAAUACGGAGGAUGCGAGCGUUAUCCGGAUUUAUUGGGUUUAAAGGGUGCGCAGGCGGCGAGUUAAGUCAGCGGUAAAAUUUGGGGGCCCACCCCCAACAAGCCGUUGAAACUGGCUUGCUAGAGUGGGCGAGAAGUAUGCGGAAUGCGUGGUGUAGCGGUGAAAUGCAUAGAUAUCACGCAGAACUCCGAUUGCGAAGGCAGCAUACCGGCGCCCAACUGACGCUCAGGCACGAAAGCGUGGGUAUCGAACAGGAUUAGAUACCCCAGUA
rnacentral:rRNA from 1 species